UUCUGCGAUUCCCUCCGGGAUCAAACGAUCUCUGCAAAGCUUUGAGUUCGUCGUCAGCUCCGGUAAAGACGGUCGCUUUUAUAUAGUAAAGAUCCUUUAAUUAGGCUUUUUAAUGGGCCGUGACUUUAUUGGGCUUACUGUACAUGCUAGUCUAUAAAACGAAACACACUUUGUCAUCUAUAAACAAAACAUCAAAGAUGAGAAAAUAAGGCCAGUGAGUCUAAAGCAUUUUUCUUAAUGGGCCUAUUUAUUUGCAGCAUGAUUUUUGUUUUUCUGUUAGCCUGGUAUAUAUUUUAUUUGCAAAUGUAAUGUUUUUUGUAAAUAUCCUAGCUAUUUAAUUAAUAUAACGAGAAUUUUGUACUCGACUAAAAAACUGAAAAACUUAAAACUUUUGGGGAAGAGUAGUAGUUAAUUAUAAUUUAAUCCUACUAUAUAAAAGGAGCUAUUUUUGGAGCUUCUAAGGGGUGCCAUGUCAGAUGAAAUAUUCCUGGCCAAUUAAAAUGACAGGUCAUCGCGGACUGGGCUUGGAAUACAAAAAUUAUUCCAAAAAUUAAGUUAGUCUUCGCAGCCCAUUAAAACCUUUUGGCAGCCCAACCUAAAAUCUAAUGGUUUUGGUGGUUCCCACUUAGACCAGAAAUAUUCAGUCUUCGUACAUUGGUUUAGACUAAAUUAAUUUUGUUGUGGCCCGUAAUAUAUGUUUUACUACUGUUCCUGUUAAGAAAUUCAAUUCAGCCCAAAAUCCAUAGUGAAGCCCUUCAUCACCUUAAGUUUUCUGGUAAGUAAACCAAACUCUGCGUUUAGGAUUAGGUCGAUUGUGGUUUGAAGUAGUAUUCAUCUUCGACGGUUGACCAACACUGUCUCCGCCGUUGUUUGGAAAGUCAAUUUUCCUCUCACCUUUCUACCUCCCGUUUCUCUUCAUUUCCUUCUCUUUUGGCCACUCCCUUGAACUUUACUCUCUUACCAUAUGCAAUGAAUUUUGAGUUCACAUUAAAAUCCGUAACUCCUACGAACUCUCUGUUUCCCUUACUUUACUAUCAACGCUUGAUGCGUAUCAAAACCAAAGAAGACAUCAAACCGUAGAAAUACGAGAGGCUUGAGACUGGAAUCAAGCUUCACACACAAGCUCUCUAAGUUUAUCCUCCCCCGAAAACCUAGAACCCUCAUUCCAAAUGUCUUACUCUGGUGCUGCUGCUGUCGAUGAGCCGCCCUCCCCUCCACCUUUGACGAGAGCUAGGUCGUACAACCGCCUCCUCCUUUUCUGGAUUCGUGGAACAUCAAUAAAAGCGGUGAAUGUAUGGGAAUCACCCUCCUCUUCCUUGAUUAUCAACAUCUCCUCUUCCUUGAUGAAAAUGUAUCAACAUCUUUACUUUCUCUGGACUACUAUAUACUAUAUUUGUUUAAUCAAUAUUCAAGCUACUCUGUGAUCCACGGUUUCAUCCCAGCUGGUGGUGUGAAUCACUACCGUCCAUCCAUCGCUACGAGAGGGGUCGAUCGUGAAAGUUGAUCUCUUUUAAAUCGGCUGAUGCACUAAUAUGUACAAGAUCACGGAUCAUCCUUUCGUCAUCUGUAUCAUUCCCCCAACAACUAUUGAUGAAUUUGCCAUGAUUUCAACUGUUAUCAAUCUCCAGAAAUUCAUCCUUUGAAAGUUCGACCAUCUCCAAGCUCUUGCAAACACUAACUUAUAGCCUCCGGUAUAGUUUUCAAUAGAGUUUUGCAUGUUAAAUUUCAACCACAAUCUACAUAUACUAUGUUUUCAUUAUUAAAAAAUGCUUUCAUUUUCAGAUGUGUUUGGACAAAUCCGUAUUGUUCAAGGCUCUGACCUGAACAACUUACGAAAUGAGGUCUGUCUCCUAAUUGACCCAUAAGUCAUGAACUUACGUACUAAUAUUUUAAAAUGCUUAGCUCAUUGUUUUUUUUUAAACUAAAAUAUUCUCCCAUUCCAGUUCCGUUGUUGUACUUGUGUCAUGGAACUCGCGUUGAUUCCAUAGAAGGUAUUAAAAAGAAGGAACUAAUGUCAAUAGGAGAUCUUCACACUUUCAUCUUCAACUCCAACUCCAAUGGGCAGCAGGUAACACUCCGUCUUUAAACAUACUUUAGUACUCUUAUGUGGUUCCAAAAUAGUAUCAACUAAUGUUAGUGAUGUUGUCAUCCUCAAGAAGCUGAUUUUAUUUGCAAGGUUCAGAUUGUUGGUGUCCUCCAACAAAAUGGCUGGGCGUUUAUUUCUUGCACCAGUUGCAGCAGGAAGCUUACAAAAUCUGGCACUUUCUUCCGUUGCAACAGGUGUGUUUCUUCCAACGUGACCGGACAUCAGAGUAGCAGCAGCGACCCAGCUCCAGUCAUGGAUAUGGAAUCUGGACAAGCAACAGAAUCUGCCAGCAACCUGGGUGAUGUGCCAAAGAUUCCACUGGGAGUUGCUGAAGCAAGCCUGAUAGGUUCUGCUGGUGACGAGAACACCCGCAAACGCCUCCUUGAUUGAUUGUCGCAAGGUCAUCUAACCGUCAACUCCACUUAGAUUUCGUUUCAUUUUAAUUUUCUACUUCCGUGUUUUUUCAACUUUGAGCUUUAGUUCUCUUUGAUUUGCUGCAAACUAUUUUUUACUGGUAUAAGAAUUACUACAACUUUAAAUAAUAAAGAAAGAGUCUACGUGUCUUUGCUUAUUUACCAAUGUCCCCAACUUUAUAAAUCAGUAAAGUUGCACAAUGCUAAACGGCCUUUUGUAAUUGCUGUAGUUUUAAUUACUAACUCUACAAUGGACUUUUAAAAUAACCUUACUCACACCCAAAAACACCACCAAAUCAAUAAACGAACUAUAGCACAUAUAAAACCCCUAAUGAAAAUACUAAAACUAAUUCAGAGAAACAUCAAACGUAUAAUCACCCAUAUGAAAAGCAUAAUAUACAAUUUUUCCCACAGCUACUGCACAAUUUUAGUGACAGGUUCACAAACUGCGGCAAAUCCUAGACAACUUACGGUAACGUCAACAACCCGCGCUUGCGCGGAGCUCCGGCCCUAGUUAAUAUAACGAGAAUUUUGUACUUGACUAAAAAACUGAAAAAGUCGGAACUUUUGGGGAAGAUAAUUAUAUAGAUCAAACUAGUAACUAAUAAAUAAGUUAAGUUGGUCUUAUUGAAGGCUGUAUUCUGAUUCUGAUUGAAGGAUGUAUUCUGAUUCGACCAUAAGGUUAAGAUCGACAUAACAAGUAGUGUCGUAUCUAUAUUAGGACAAAAACAACAGCAUCUACUUAAUUAUUAGUUAGUUGCUUGCCGGUGACGACCCUCUUUCCAUUAUAUACAUGAUAAUGGACGACCUUAUAUAAUAAUAUAUCAUGACCCUCUUUGAACUGUAUUACAGAAUAAUGGAAGACCUUAUAUGUAAUACUAGUAUGUAUCAAAACGGUGUAAUUUCAAUAAGUAACAAUUAAUAUUGUGGGGGAAGAGAUUUAAGGACCGACAAGAGAAAUAAGUGGAGGGAGAUACGAGAAGAAUGGUUGGCACUGAAGUGGAGUUGGGUACGAAAAGGGUACGUUUGAUCUGUACAUAUUCAAUACCACAUGUCAUCCAUAAAACGAUCAUUUAUAAGAUUUUGCUUCGUAUGGCUCCUUUAAGAUCAAUUAUUACUAUCCCUUUCUUAUUAUUUGAGGAGCAUUAGAUAAAACUAACCUUUACUUCAUGUGUUUAUUACAUGUGUGUCAUUUUCUAUGUGGCAUCACCAAAAGCUCUCUUACACCUUAUAUUCAAACACCCUUUCUUAACUAGACUAAUUACAAAAUUUACCAUUGCUAAUUACAUUAAAACUUCUUUAUAUACUAUAAGUCUAUAAGCUUAUUGACUAACAAAAUAAUUUAUCCCAUGUCCUACUACUCUUUGAUUACAAACGUUUCCAUUUUCAAAUACGCAGAGAUUUUAUUACCAUAACCAGAGAUUCGUCAUAAUUAUCGAUUUCAAUAUGGAAAUUCGUAUAGCCUGAUUUAAAUAUUAAUGACUUUCUAUAUAGUUAAACUACAUAAAAUCCAUUGUGUACGUAUGUAUCUUCAUAUCUACUUAUAUAUGUGUUGCUAUAUCACGAAUUCGUUAUAUAUGUGUUGUCAAACACAAUGUUCAACAAUUCUUACAUAAUCGCAAAAUCUUAUAGAUAUAUACAUACACUUUUUCAAAAAAAUUACAUAAAACGAUCUAAUAUAUAGUAUUUUUAAAAGAUUUUCUUACAGCAAUAAUGGCAUUGGUGAAAAGAAAUAUAUAUUAAAACUUACAUACUACAAUAUUUUUCUACUUUCUUAAUAAUAUAAGUUUUCACCUAAACGAAGAGAUUGUCAAUCACGCAACAGUUAAUGGGACAUACGAUGAUCUCCAUGAUAUUUCAAAUCAGGAAUGUAUAAAGAUAAAUAUGACGCUAAAAGUUGAACUCAAUAAUUUUUAUACAAAAAUUGCGACGAAAAAUGAAAAGUUUCAAAAUCAGAAUUGAUUAUUGAUUUGAGAUCGAUUGAUUUUUUCAAUCAAGCUGCAAUCUUUGUUUCCUUAUAUUAAAAAUAAGAAUAAAAUGUUUUCUGAUUUUGAAAGAUCAAUUCGCAAAUGGAGUAAUAAGGCGAGUUUCAAAAUAGAAUUGUAGUGCAAGUUAUUCAGUAUUAAUUAUUGAAUAUUACAUAUAUUUAAAGCGAUUUCGAAUAAAGAUAGCAAACCCUAGACCCAAAAAAUUUUGUAUAUAAAUAUGUAGCUGAUGUUAACAUCUCCUCACCACAGUCUAUAUCUCAAAACAUUGUUACCAAAACAUUAGGUUUUUCUGAUUUUACCUAGGUGGUAACAUUGUCAUUUUACCUAGAUGAUAACCUCGUGAUUUCACGUCAUCAUUAAGUGUGUUUCUUAUGGUGUCUUUGCUCAUGUUUUUUAAGAAUUUUAUUAGUUUAUUGCUUAUAUUUCGUUUUAUCUUAUAUGUAUAUUUUAUUUUAUGAAAACAAUAAUUCUAUUGUAUGUGUUUUUUUUUCCUUCAUAAUUUAGUUUAUAUAAGUUUUUGAUUACUCUUAUAGAUUAGCUUUCAUCCGAAUCACAUACGAUUUCAUCAUUUGAUAUCUAAUCCUUCCUCAUCGUAUAUAUAAAUAGGUUGUUUUGAACACAUCUACUCAUCACAUUCUUCUUCCCAAACCUUUAUUACAAAUUUGAUCUUGCAAGCAAAACACUUAUGGUGGGUCUCAACUCAUUAUAUAAUAUGCAAUCUUGUGACUAUAAGUUUUGUAUUUCUAAUAUUUAUAGAUUAAAAGUUAUAAUCUCUUUUAAUCCAUUCACUCCGCGCAGGGCGCGGGUAUCACCUAGUCUUCUUUUAUUAAGGGUGGUCAACCUUAUUCAAUUCUUCAUACUAUGUCCCUAUCAUUCUUUUCAAUCUUUUUAAUUCGCUUCUGAAUUUUAUUUUUGAAUUUGGACAUGGUAUGUACAUCAUGAAUAUAUGUUUAGUUUGGCAUUCAACAUCAAUUGUGGUAGAGGUCGUUAAAUCGUUUUUGUUUGGUAUUGUUCUAUAUGUGACUAAUCAAAAUCUUACAUUAUCUUUGGCAGAAAUAAUAUAUAGAAUAUAUAUUUUACGAAUCAAUAUCGCCACAAAACUAUAGUUGUGGAAUAAAAAUUACAUAUUCACUUUUAGUUUUUACAUAAAUAUUAUCGGAUUCACCAUUUUUUCUACUACCCAAACGAGAGCUUGUAACGGUUAGCUUUCUAUCAAAAUGAUAAUUGCUGGCUUGUGAUUGCAUGGGAAAGGCACAAGAAACAUGAAACCACCUAUCUACGUAAAUUAUUUGAAUAAUAUUUGCCACAAUGAUCACCUAGCAUAUCAUAGAAUAUAUUUCAUCGUCUACAUAUAUCUUAGAUCUCCAAGAUAUGAUCUGAUGAGCUUCGGAUUUCUUUAAUUAGUAGAAUAAAACCUAUUGUAUAUAUUACCAAAUGAGCAGGGUCACAUGUCAUUGUGAUAUUUUUAUCUACAGAAUGGGCUGAUGGUAAUAGUUUUGUCAUAGAGCUUGCGAGUUGAGACUUUAUUUUCAGUCACUAUUGAAAGUCUAAACCAGGCGUAGAAUUUUAAUUUAGAGAAUCGUAUUGUAGUGUGAAUAUCGACAAACAAGUAAAAGUCCCAUUGAAAAGGCCCAACUAUUUACACUAUAAU